UACGUAGGGUGCGAGCGUUAAUCGGAAUUACUGGGCGUAAAGCGUGCGCAGGCGGUGAUGUAAGACCGAUGUGAAAUCCCCGGGCUUAACCUGGGAACUGCAUUGGUGACUGCAUCGCUCGAGUAUGGCAGAGGGGGUAGAAUUCCACGUGUAGCAGUGAAAUGCGUAGAGAUGUGGAGGAAUACCGAUGGCGAAGGCAGCCCCUGGGUCAAUACUGACGCUCAUGCACGAAAGCGUGGGGAGCAAACAGG
rnacentral:rRNA from 1 species